GAGUUUGAUCGUGGCUCAGGACGAACGCUGGCGGCAGGCUUAAUACAUGCAAGUCGAGGGGCAGCGCAGUGUAGCAAUACAUGGGCGGCGACCGGCAAACGGGUGCGGAACACGUACACAACCUUCCUUUAAGCGAGGAAUAGCCCGGGGAAACCCGGAUUAAUACCUCAUAGUAUAUCGAAGAGGCAUCUCUUUGUUAUUAAAGAUUUAUCACUUGAAGAUGGGUGUGCGGCUGAUUAGGUAGUUGGCGGGGUAACGGCCCACCAAGCCUACGAUCAGUAACUGGUGUGAGAGCACGACCAGUCACACGGGCACUGAGACACGGGCCCGACUCCUACGGGAGGCAG
rnacentral:rRNA from 1 species